rnacentral:piRNA from 1 species
UGAUGAACUGCUGACUGGUGCUUG